rnacentral:rRNA from 1 species
AUUGAACGCUGGCGGCAUGCUUUACACAUGCAAGUCGAACGGCAGCGCGGGCUUCGGCCUGGCGGCGAGUGGCGAACGGGUGAGUAAUACAUCGGAACGUGCCCAGUAGUGGGGGAUAGCUCGGCGAAAGCCGGAUUAAUACCGCAUACGACCUGAGGGUGAAAGCGGGGGAUCUUCGGACCUCGCGCUAUUGUAGCGGCCGAUGGCAGAUUAGCUAGUUGGUGGGGUAAAGGCCUACCAAGGCGACGAUGUGUAGCUGGUCUGAGAGGACGACCAGCCAGACUGGGACUGAGACACGGCCCAGACUCCUACGGGAGGCAGCAGUGGGGAAUUUUGGACAAUGGGCGAAAGCCUGAUCCAGCAAUGCCGCGUGUGUGAUGAAGGCCUUCGGGUUGGAAAGCACUUUUGGCGGGAACGAAAAGGACUGUGCCAAUACCACGGUUCGAUGACGGUACCCGCAGAAUAAGCACCGGCUAACUACGUG